AUUGAACGCUGGCGGCAGGCCUAACACAUGCAAGUCGAACGAGUGGCGGACGGGUGAGUAAUGUCUGGGAAACUGCCUGAUGGAGGGGGAUAACUACUGGAAACGGUAGCUAAUACCGCAUACCAUCGGAUGUGCCCAGAUGGGAUUAGCUAGUAGGUGGGGUAAAGGCUCACCUAGGCGACGAUCCCUAGCUGGUCUGAGAGGCUGACCGGCCACACUGGAACUGAGACACGGUGCAGAUUGCGACGGGGGGCAGCAGUGGGGAAUAUUGCGCAAUGGGCGCAAGCCUGAUGCAGCCAAGCCGCGUGUAUGAAGAAGGACUUCGGGGUGUAAAGUACUUUCAGCGGGGAGGCGUUACCCGCAGAAGAAGCACCGGCUAACUCCGUGCCAGCAGCCGCGGUAAUAC
rnacentral:rRNA from 1 species